rnacentral:rRNA from 1 species
UUCUCAGUUCGGACUGUAGGCUGCAACUCGCCUACACGAAGCUGGAAUCGCUAGUAAUCGCGGAUCAGCACGCCGCGGUGAAUACGUUCCCGGGCCUUGUACACACCGCCCGUCACACCAUGAGAGUCUGUAACACCCAAAGCCGGUGGGAUAACCUUUAUAGGAGUCAGCCGUCUAAGGUAGGACAGAUGAUUAGGGUGAAGUCGUAACAAGGUAAC